UACGGCUCAGUAACACGUCAAUAAUCUGACCUUAGGUCAGGGAUAACCUUGGGAAACUGAGGAUAAUACUGAUAGGGGAUAAUAACUGGAAUGUUUAUCUCUGAAAGAUUUCGCCUAAGGAUGAGUUGGCGGCGGAUUAGGUAGUUGGUGAUGUAAUGGAUCACCAAGCCAAAGAUCCGUAGGGGCCUUGAGAGAGGUAGCCUCGAGAAGGGCACUGAGAUACAGGCCCUAGCCCUACGGGGUGCAGCAGGCGCGAAACCUUUACAAUGCACGAAAGUGUGAUAAGGGAAUCCUAAGUGCUUUGCUUUUUGCAAAGCUUCUUUUAAGAGUAAAUAUCUUGGAGAAUAAGUGGUGGGAAAGACUGGUGCCAGCAGCCGCGGUAAUACCAGCGCCACAAGUGGUGGUCAUUUUUAUUGGGCCUAAAGCGUUCGUAGCCGGUUUGAUAAAUCUUCUGUGAAAUUGUCAAGCUUAACUUGACAGCGUGCAAAAGACACUAUCAGACUUGGAACCGGGAGGAGUCAGAGGUAUUCUUUGGGGAGCGGUAAAAUGCUAUAAUCCUAAGAAGACUAACUGUGGCGAAGGCGUCUGACUAGAACGGAUUCGACGGUGAUUGGACGAAAGUCAGGGGAGCAAUCCGGAUUAGAUACCCGAGUAGUCCUGACUGUAAACUCUGCGAGCUAGGUGUUGCAUAUUCUUCGGGAAUAUGCGGUGUCGAAGUGAAGACGUUAAGCUCGCCGCCUGGGAAGCACGGUCGCAAGGCUGAAACUUAAAGGAAUUGGCGGGGGAGCAC
rnacentral:rRNA from 1 species